GCAUUGGUGGUUCAGUGGUUGAAUUUUUGCUUUCCACGCAGGAGACCCAGUUCUAUUCUGGCCAAUCCA
rnacentral:tRNA from 1 species